CUACGUGCCAGCAGCCGCGGUAAUACGUAGGUGGCAAGCGUUGUCCGGAAUUAUUGGGCGUAAAGCGCGCGCAGGCGGAUUGGUCAGUCUGUCUUAAAAGUUCGGGGCUUAACCCCGUGAUGGGAUGGAAACUGCCAAUCUAGAGUAUCGGAGAGGAAAGUGGAAUCCCUAGUGUAGCGGUGAAAUGCGUAGAUAUUAGGAAGAACACCAGUGGCGAAGGCGACUUUCUGGACGAAAACUGACGCUGAGGCGCGAAAGCCAGGGGAGCGAACGGGAUUAGAUACCCUGGUAGUCCACGCCGUAAACGAUGAGUGCUAGGUGUUAGACCCUUUCCGGGGUUUAGUGCCGUAGCUAACGCAUUAAGCACUCCGCCUGGGGAGUACGACCGCAAGGUUGAAACUCAAAGGAAUUGACGGGGGCCCGCACAAGCGGUGGAGCAUGUGGUUUAAUUCGAAGCAACGCGAAGAACCUUACCAGGUCUUGACAUCCCUCUGACCGCUCUAGAGAUAGAGUUUUC
rnacentral:rRNA from 1 species